UUUUCCUUUCCUUCACUGAGCCGAGGGUCGAUUGAAAACAGCCUCUCUGCCCUUUCGGNNNNNNNNNNNNNNNNNNNNNNNNNNNNNNNNNNNNNNNNNNNNNNNNNNNNNNNNNNNNNNNNNNNNNNNNNNNNNNNNNNNNNNNCCUUUCGGGUAGGGGUAAGGCUCGUCUACAUAUUACCCUCCCCAGACCCCACUUUGUGGGACUAUACUGGGUAGUUGUUGUUGUUUUUGUUGUUAAUUCUUCUUUCAGUUAUAUGACGAACAAAAGAUGGUGUUAAUGACUGCGGUAGUAACUGAACUUUGUGAUUAACUGUGCUCAGAACUUUUUGUAAGCCUUGUCGUAUUUAUAUAAAUAAUAAUAAAUGAAUAUUAUCUAAUACUAUUAUUUUCGACCUCUUGGCCAAUGGCUUAGUUGAAUAUUAUUGCAAAGGGAGGUGUAGCUUCGAUUCUCCUUAGCCUCAAAUUUUUAACAAAAAUGCUCGCGCAAAGAUGUUUAAAAAAUAGAGUGUCUAGGUCCUGUCUCGAACCUACAACCUUUACAAACCCAAAUAUAAGCUUGGCCAAUGGACCAAGAGGUAUUCUUUGCCAAAAAUCGGUGUCAUUAUUAUAUAAUGCUUCAUUUUUAUAGAAUAGUAGUAUAAACAUUGUAAUAUUUUUUUCCGGGGACACUUCCACCCAUGUGCAUGCGCCCUUGACUGUGCUCUUAAUGGGGUCAAAUUUGCUCUUGUACUAUCCAAAAUUGAGCAACUUCGCAAAAGUUUAAUGGAUGGUCCAAUCUUACCAUGCUACCUGGAAAAGUGUCAUUUUUGCCUUUGUCCCCUAACAGAGCUCUAGCUCCAAUCUGAGGAUAAUUUUAAAAAAUAGGCAAAAAUCGAGGGGUAAAUUUGAAUCUUCUUUCUCGAAGAAUUUGGACACGUAGAGUCCACCCAUCUCAUGGUGGAGUUUGUGUUAAUGGCAAAGGAAAAUACGAGAUAGAUUUGCUAAUGGCAAGGGUACGAAUGCACCAAAAUACGACAAGUGCAUGAAUGCACCAAAAAGUAUAACAGACAAAAAUUGAGCAAUUUCAGAGAGCACAGGGGCAAAUUUAGACCUUUUCUCUUAUUUUUGUAAUUAUUUCCUUUGGCUCAUGAAUUCAACUGCCUCAGAAAUUGAAAGUUUAUGAUUAUUUGGGCCUUCAUGAAUUACAAUAAAAAUGUGUUUAAAUUUUUGUUGUAAUAGCCAAGUUCUUUUUGUAGUGUGCCAUGAUCUGUGUUUUCUAUGGUUUGUAAAAGAAUGUGACAAUGUUAUACUUGCUUUUUUGAAAUCUUUUGGUUUUCUAUUGUUGGCUAUAGAAUCCUUCCACAUGUUGAUGAUCAUUUUAUGAGUAAACUAAUUAGGCAUUGCAUCUUUUCUUGGCCAGUAGUUAAUAUGCAUCAUACAGCAAAGAGCUGCAGUUCUAAGGGCCAGUCAAUCUUGCGGUCUUCUGAUCAAGGUUUAGAGCAGUAUAAACAGCUUCAUAAAACAUAUUGCCCUAGAAUAGUUGGAAUAUAUAUGGAACCUUCAGUUGAGUACAUUGUUGCUGUUCUAUCCGUUUUGAGGUGCGGAGAAGCAUUUCUGCCUUUAGAUCCAUCUUGGCCAAACGAAAGGGUACUAUUGGUAAUAUCUUCUUCAAAAGCUAGUCUUAUUGUCGGCUAUGGAUCUUCUGUUGACAGAACUUGUCAUCAGCUUGACAAAUUACAAUGGCUCAUUGAUAAAGGCAGUUAUCCUGUCUUUUAUAUGUCAAUGGAUGAUUUCAUCCCCAAAAAAUCUGAUUUUUUGUUAGGCUGGCCUUGUGAAAGUGAAAGGUUGAGAUCGUUCUGCUACUUGAUGUACACAUCUGGAUCGACUGGAAAACCUAAGGGUGUAUGUGGCACUGAAGUAGGUGAGUUGUACAUCCUUUUGAUUGUUCAACCAUUUGUCAUCAAUUUAUAUUGCCCCGAUAUAUAAUUUAUGCUUUUAUAGUUUUUGCUUUCCUUUAGGCACUAACUCAAUUUAUUUAAUCAUACGCUUGCAGGUCUUCUGAAUCGCUUUUUGUGGAUGCAAGAAACAUAUCCCUUUCAAAAAGAAGAAAUCCUUUUUUUCAAAACAUCAAUAAGCUUCAUUGACCAUUUGCAAGAAUUUUUAGGAGCUAUACUUGCUAAUUGUACGUUGGUCAUACCUCCUUUCAAUCAGCUGAAGGACAAUAUAUUUUGUGUAGUCAAUCUUUUACAGGUAUAUGCAAAGGCUUAUUUACCCUUGAAUUUCUUGUUAUUUGACAGCGUUUUUAAAAGGGUGUGCAUUAUUUUUUAUGUGGUAGCAGUGUUGUCAAAGGCGCGCUUAAGCCCUGAAGCGAGGCUCAAAACACGUUGAGCGCUUCGCCUCGCUUUCUGGGCGCUUUAGUGUCGCAUCAAAGCUCCAAUGCAUACUUUUCAUUGCUAGUGAGUGUAAUCCUGAAAAUGCGACUAUAUUUGUUAUUCAUGUUUAUAAUGAUUAGCCUUGGACUACAUGCAUAUUUUUACUUUUUUCCCAUUGCGCCUUUUUUCAUUAAAGCCCACGCUUUAUUUGCACUUUGCGCUUAAAGCUCCAAAGGAUCUUAGAGCUUUUUUGCGCUUUUCGCCUUUGAUAACACUGUAUGGUAGACAACAACAUUAAGGGCUUUUGUGUCCAUUAACCAAUUGCUGUUCUCUUACAACUACAAGCAUAAAGCAAGUAUUUUCGCUCAGGCGCUGCUGGUGCGACAAGUCUUGACUCUUGAGAGUAUUGGGUGCUUGUUAAUCAAUUAAAAUUUAUAUCUAGAUUAAUGCUUUGGUGAUCACUUAGCUUUUUCUAACAUUAUUUAGACUUCUAUAGCUAGAAUGAGCGUGAGUUCCUUGAUUAAUUUGUACUCUAGCUGCUAUAUUGGUUGCUGGUAAUUCUGUACUAAGCUAAAAUACUGGUGCACAAACACUAAUCAUUGUCAUAUCUCUCUCUCUCUCUCUCUCUCUCUUGUUUNNNNNNNNNNNNNNNNNNNNNNNNNNNNNNNNNNNNNNNNNNNNNNNNNNNNNNNNNNNNNNNNNNNNNNNNNNNNNNNNNNNNNNNNNNNNNNNNNNNNNNNNNNNNNNNNNNNNNNNNNNNNNNNNNNNNNNNNNNNUUGUUUGGGGGGGGGGGGUUACGUCUCUUAUGUUCUUUGGAAUUUCAGUGUUAUAUAAUAUUAAUGACUGUUAUUGGUGGCAGUAAGUUGCAAGAAGUUCAAGUGGGUAAUGUUUACUUUUUUGAUUAUGAAAUUUUCAAAUACUGCACGAAUAAAGCUCUGGCUAUUCUUUGUAGUUUUCUGGCACUGAUAAUGUCUUUGUACCAAAAUUAUCAAGCUCCCUUUAUUCAAUGGAUUUGUGGUUGGUCAAUAACAUGUUUUGGUCUUGCUCUCUGGAUCGGAAAUUUUCUUUUUUUCUUUUGCAUUUCUGCUGCCUGCCUUGGUUCUUGAACCUCUUCUCUGGCUUGCAUUUAUCCACUGAUUUCUCUUUUGCAAACAAAAACCAUUCUUUCCCCUUGAAUCUUGAUAUAGAGGAAAUUCCAUAUAUUCUUUUGGGAAAAGGUCAAAUUUGCCGCUGCCUUCGAAAUUGAGCAACAUUGAAAAAAGUCUUGUUUUUGCCCUUGACCCGUAAUGUAGCUCCAACCCGAGGUUAAGUUUAAAACUUAGUAAAAAAUUGACAUGUGUUGUCCACCCAUUUCACGCUAAAGCUCCCUUAAUGACAAGGGCAAAUACAAGAUGAUUUGAUAGCGGCAAGGUAUGAAUGGACCAAGGUUUAACAGAGGAUCAAGUGGAGCAAUUUCGCAUUGUAUAGCAUCAAAUUUGGACCUUUUCCCUGUUCUUUAUUCCUUUCCGUACUAUGAUAGCAUAAAAAAUUCAAAAGUUCCAUUAUUUUUUCCAUUAUUUGUCUUCAGGAGUACUCUAUGAGCAGGCUAGUGGCAGUUUCAUCUCUUAUAAUGGCGAUCUUCCUGCUCUGCAGAGCAUAUACUAUUCUAAAGUUCAGAUUUCCUUAAAAUUUUUAGUGCUUAAGUGGUUAAAGUUUUUGAUAUGUCGCUGUGGAAGAUGCUUGUCAAGUUGCUUACUCAGACUUCUGUUAUUCCAUUAUUUUUUCCAUCAUUUAUCUCAGGAAUAUUCUAUUAGCAGGCUCGUGGCAGUUCCAUCUCUUAUAAGGGCGUUUCUUCCAGCUCUGCAGAGCAUAUAUUAUUCUACAAUUCAGGUUUCAUUAAAACUUCUGGUACUAAGUGGUGAAGUUUUUGAUAUAUCGCUGUGGAAGAUGCUUGUCAAGUUGCUGCCCCAGACUUCUAUUCUUAAUAUAUAUGGAAGUACAGAGGUAAAUUUCCGUCUUUGAUUUACUUUUGGGUUAAUCAAGUCCUUGCAAGUUCUAAUACUGAAUCGCUUGGAAGGAAAAAAGCUUCAUGUUCCUUUGUGUGUUACUUUUUGAUCACUUAUGUUCUUGUAAGUUCUAAUGUUUGGACCGCUCGAAAAGAGAAGCUUUGAGUAAUGCUUUCUCAUAUCUAACAGGAUGCCAAUUUCUAUCCUUAUUUUCUUCACCCUUUUAUUUGUGUCACCUUCUCUACUCGAUAUAACCACUUUAGUUUGGAGUUUAAAUUUGGGAAACUUAUGUCAGUUCUUGAGCUUUAGGUUAAAUUCAAUUUCUUAGUACUUGUGACCAUAGUCAGUGCUAUUAGCCUUUAAUCUGUGUGAUCUGAGUUUUAUGUUGGUGCUCUACUUUUUGGUGUACGUCUUGUUUACGGGAGAUUUUCCAUAUUAAAUGAAAUAAUUUUACCUUGUCUUAGUUUUGUCAAAGGCGCGCUUAAGCCCUGAAGCGAGGCUUAGCACAUGUUGAGCACUUCGCCUCGCUUUGUGGGCGCUUUAGUGUCGCAUCAAGUCUCUAAGGCAUACUUUUCCUUGCCAAUGAGCGUAAUCCUGAAAUUGCAACAUUAAACAUUUGAUAUUUCACUUUAUCUUAAUUUUUUUUUUUCAAUUUUAUUGUCCCUAUAUUUGUUAUUCAUGCUUAUAAUUAUUAGUCUUGGACUAUAUAUACAUAUUUUUACUUUUUCUCCAGUUGCGCUUUUUUCAUUAAAGCCCACACUUUAUUUGCGCUUUGCACUUAAAGCCCCAACGGACCGUAGAGGUUUUUUGCGCUUUUCGCCUUUGAUAACACUGCCUUGUCUAAAAGAGUAUUUGUGAUUUGAGCUAAUACUCUCCUUACGUCACCUAUCAUUUUAAUCCAUCACUUUAAUUCACUAUCUUCUCUGUAAUCUUCACUAAUACUUUGGAUGUUUGAAGUAGCUUACGUCACCUAUUAUUUUUAUCCACUAUCUUCUCUGUAGUCUUCACUAAUACUUUGGAUGUUUGAAAUAGGUUUCUGGUGACUGCACAUAUUUUGACUGCAAGUGGUUGCACCCAAUGUUGGAGCAAGAUGCACCGGGUAGUGUUCCAAUAGGCAUUCCCAUUGGAAAUUGUGAUGUGGUUCUUGUUGGGGAAAAUUCUCCCUAUGAGGGUGAGAUAUGUGUCAGUGGAAGUUGUGUUGCUGCUGGAUACUUUUGUCAUCCUUCUAUUUUUCCAUUGGAUAUCGUUCAACUACAUCAAGAGGUAGCUGGCGCUGAGAACGAUAAAAAUGAAGUGAACUGUUACUUUAGAACUGGAGAUUUUGGCAGAGAACUUUCAAAUGGUAACCUGGUGUGUAUCGGGAGAAAAGACCGCACUGUAAAGAUCAGUGGGCAGCGUAUUGCUUUAGAGGAGGUUGAAAUCGUUUUGAGGGAACACCAAGAAGUAGUUGAUGCUGCUGUAGUUUCUCGUUGUGUUCAAGGAGAUAUUUUACUUCUUGAAGCAUAUUUACUGCUCAAACAAAAGGAAAGCAACCUUAAGUUCUUCAGGUCCUCAAUUAGAUGCUGGAUAGCCAGCAAACUUCCCCCGAUAAUGAUUCCUGCUCGUUUCUACUUUGUUGAAUCUUUUCCUAUGUCUUCCUCAGGGAAAGUGGAUUACAAGAACUUGGCCACUUUAGCCGCUUCUGAGGCAGGUAGCUGUAUUGAGAUUGAAGAGACUCAAGAUAUCAAUCUCAUUAAUGUUAUACAGAAGGUAUUUAACUAGACUUCAGCUUUAUUAAAGGUUGUGAUUCUGUUGUAAUAUGGGGUUAGCAAUCUUGAUUUCAAUUUUCAUUCAGUACCAAGUCUGCCCAUGAUUAAAAUGUGAUUUUUUUGGUUAGAUAUAUUAAGAUGUAGAUGUGGAGAAAAAUCACGUGUAGAUUGUUAAGAUCAUAGGAUGCCUAGAUACUAUUUGCUGAUGGCAUAGUCCUGAUAGACGAGACGAGGGUCGGUGUUAACGAGAGGUUGGAGGUCUCGAGACAGACUCUCGAGUCUAGGGGUUUCAAACUAAGCAGAUCCAAGACAAAAUACCUGGAGUGCAAGUUUAGCGCCGAGUCGAGCGAAGUAGGCAGGGACGUGAAGCUUGGAGCUCAGGUCAUCCCCAAGAGGGACAAUUUCAAAUAUCUUGGGUCGGUGAUUCAGGGGGACGGGGAGAUCGACGAGGGUGUCACUCACCGUAUUGUGGCGGGGUGGACGAAAUGGAGGUUUGCAUCAGGAGUCUUGUGUGACAAGAAAGUGCCACUGAAACUCAAAGGGAAGUUUUAUAAAGCUGUGGUUAGACUUGCCAUGUUGUAUGGGUCGGAGUGAUGGCCGGUUAAGAACUCUCAUGUUUAGAGAGUGAAGAUUGCGGAUAUGAGGAUGCUCAGGUGGAUGUACGGGCACACUAGAUUAGAUAAGAUUAAGAAUGAAUUUAUUCGGGACAAAGUGGGGGUGGCCCCUGUGGACGAGAAGAUGCGGGAAGCGAAGCUCAGGUGGUUCAAGCAUGUGCAGAGGAGAAGCCCUGAUGUCCCGGUGAGGAGUUGUGAGCGGCUGACAGUAGUUGGCGCGAAGCGAGGCAGAGGGAGGCCUAAGAGCCUGUUUGGAUGGGCUUAAAAGUUGGUCAAACCAGCUUUUAAGCCCCUUUUAACUGAUGGAGGUGUUUGACAAUAAAAAAUAGCUUAAAAAAAGUUAAAAUCUGCUUAAAAAAAGCCAAAACCAAGAAGUUGGGUGAACCCAACUUUUUUAUAUUGGCUUAAAAGCCAUAUUACUUUGAUUACUUUCUUAUCUAUUAGAGUUUUCGUAAUACCCAAAUUACCCUCAGUACAAAACUUAAAAUUGCUGAUGUCUUCUUCCUCCACAAAUUGCAGCAUCUACUUUCUUCAUUUUACUCUUUUUCUUUCCAUAUUUUUCCAGAUGGUAACGUUUGCUUGCUUUCUAUUUUUUUGUUUUUUACUAAUUUUCUUUGAAAUAUUAAUUAUGGUUUUCGUUUGAUUUCUUCGUACCGAAAUUGGGUUAGUUUUCAUUUGCUUUCUUACACUACUUUUAUUUUUUUUAAUUAAAAGUGAAUUAAAAUAUUAGUUAUUAUGUAUUUAUAUUAUUUAAAUUAAAAUAUUAUAGUUAUAAGUUUCUUUAUAGGUUUAACCGUUUUACGGAUAUUUCAGUAAUUUUAAUAGAAAAAAGCUUACUAAUACUUGUUUACCGAACACUUCAAUAGCUUUUUUUUAGUUCCAGCACUUUUAUCCAAACGUGUAACUGCUUAUUUAUAUAACUAUCUCGAGCACUUAAAAAGUGCUUUCAAUCACUUUACUUAUAAGCUACUUUUUUAAGCCAAUCCAAACGGGCUCUAAGUCUCUGUAGAAAGACAAAGCUUUUGCUGAAAAAGUAACUUCUAAAAGGGGACUAGGUGCCACUCAUAAAAAAUUCUUGUUACCUGCUUGGACUAAAAUAUCACUUAUUCAUCCUCUUGUUAAUAAGUUUCUUUAUAGGUUUAACAACUUUAAGGAUAUUUCAGUAAUUUUAAUAGAAAAGCUUACUAAUAUUUGUUUACCAAACACUUCAAUAGCUUUUUUCCAGCUCCAGCACUUUUAUUCAAACACGUAACUGCUUAUUUAUAAAACCAGCUCCAGCACUUAAAAAGUGCUUUUGAGCACUCUACUUAAAAGCUACUUUUUUUAAGCCAGUCCAAACAGACUCUAAGAAGUAUUAGGGAGAGGUGAUUAGGCAAGACAUGACAAAAAUGCGGAUUUCCGAGGACAUGACCCUUGAUAGGAAAGUCUAGAGGUCAUAGGAUAGGGGCUUCUAGAACUUUUCGUACUUCAUUCCCGGGGCUAGGUGGGGUUUGGUAGUACCCUCCAUAGAUGACUUUCGUAUUGUAUCGUGCCCCCUUAUGGUAGUUACUGGUAGAUAUUAUAACAUGCUUUAUAAUUUUUGGUUUUAUGUUUAGUUGACUAUUUAUGCGAUUUUUGUUGGAGUCACUAAUGCUCUUUUGUUUUUCCUUUUUCUUUUUCCUCUUUCUCUUCUCUUUCUCCAGAGCCGAGGGUCGAUUGGAAAUAGCCUCUCUGCCCUUUCAGGUAGGGGUAAGGCCUGUGUACGUAUUACCCUCCCCAGACCCCACUUUGUGGGACUAUACUGGAUAGUUGUUGUUGAUACUAUAUACUUCUUGUUUAUGGGACUUCACUCCCUUCUUGAGCAACUUAUCAGCUGGUGUACCAGGAUGGAAAGUGUGACACAAAAAUUGAGACAGAGAAUAUAAUGUAGUUUGGCUUAUAUUGGGUGUGGAGAAGCUGAUUGGUGAAACAGCUAUUCAGUUAAUGAAGAUAUUUUCUAUGAAAGGUGGUUAGCUUGGUAAAAAAAUGUACUCAAAAGAAUAAUUGAAACGAUAUUACAGAUCAUUGAAACUUUUAUAUGUUCUGACACUUUUGGAGCAUGACAUUUCAGUUAGUAUAAAUUCUGCUAUUUGUAGAGAAUCACCUUUUGCAUAAGCUUCUCUACCUUUUGCAUACAAACUGUCCUAUGCAGGGGUUUUCUCAACAUUUUAACUGAAUGACAUUUUUUAUUAUUGAUUUAUACCCUUGCAACAAGCUAACUGGGAUAAAAUGUCUUUUCUUGCAAAAGCUAGCUUUCUCUCUUUCAAUAGCAUCAUGUUGGGAUGUGUACCAUGUGUUAUAAAAUUCCGUUUUUAUUUGUGUAAAACAACUUAUUUGUUGAUAUCUGUUAAGAGAAUCCUUUUAUUGUAAUAUGUAAAGGAUUCCAAAUGCCAGACCAUUUAACUGGAAGAAUUAUAGGUUUUAAUUUAUGCCUUCUCUCUCUUUCAGGCAACUUGCAAACACGAUUUAAUUUGCAAUAUCUUGUGGGAGUAAUAAACCAAAUUAAAAAAUUACUUGAAGGAGUAAUCAGGUUCAGUGUUGUCAAAGGCUCAUUUAAGGUGCCUUAUGCCCUGAAGCUCAGAAAAGCUCAUGGAGGGUGCUUCGCCUCGCUUAAGCUGCACUCUAGUAUAGGCACUCAUUGCCAAUGGGCUCUAUCUUGAAUCGAGUGGUCCUAAACAACAAAUACUUAUUGGCAAAUAAGUUUAUAGUUGUUAAGGAAAACAUUAGAAAUGAAUUUGUUAAUUUAUCUUAAAUGGCAUGAGUUUUUAAAUUUUUCCUUAGUUGCAUCCUUUUUUUACUAAAGCCCACACUUUAAUUGCGCUUUGGCUUAAAGCCCCAAUCGUCAUGGAGCUUUUUAGAGCUUUUCGCUUUUGACAACACUGAUUCAGGUUGUGUAAUGACAGAAAACCUGUUCUUUUGUCCAUUUUCUACAAUAUCACGCCGAGAUUGUGUCAAAAAUAUAUACAAGUUGUGCAAAUGGAUUAACCACAUUUAUCUAUCAAGCUGUCCCAACUUUCUAUGUAUCCUUUACCACCAAAAAAAAGAUGAAAUGAAGAAGCUGUCUUUAUAACAUGAUUAUUUUGCUUUCGUGGGGAAAAUGAGCCGUAAAUCCUCUUUUGCUAAUUCGAAGUCUUUCCUGCUAUUUGGUUAAUAAAGUGUGAAGCUGCGGAGAUUUGACAGCUGAUUUAUCUACUUGGAAAAAGGGUGGUAAAGGGAAUUUAUCUCAUCCCAAAAAAGGGGGUGGUAGAGGCGGUUCAUAUAUGCCUCGAGUUGCUUUAGACCCAAACUGGUACACCUCAGUGAACGAGGCAUGACUCCAAAAUGUGCAGCCUUCAAUUUAUUAUUGAAGUAUGCCUUGAAAUCUACUCGUGGAGCAGUGGUGUGCUUUGACGGUGUUGUAACUUAGCUACAAUACAAAUAAUGAAGCUAAUCUAUGAGAAAUGAGGAGUGGUUGUAGACUUUAGGUAGUACUCUUGACUGUUACUCUUGAACAUUACAUGCUUCUUCCUAAAAUUGACCAGUAACUGACUCAUUAUCAUUGUUAAGGUUAGCUGUUGAAUAAUGAAUGUGUGCUGUCAUAUUGUCGCGAGCCUCUUGUUCUCUAGUCAAUAUUAUUUUCCUUCCGGUAUGUGUUUUCUAACACUUCCUUUAACUUUGAUUGGACAGGCUUUUUCUGAUGCUCUGAUGGUUGUUGACAAGAUUUCCCUUGAUGAUAACUUCUUUGAGAUGGGUGGCAAUUCUCUAUCAGCAGCUUAUGUCUCCUAUAAUCUAGGAAUUAAUAUGAAGGACUUGUAUACUUUUCCAACUCCUUUGAAACUUCAGAAGGCCAUUCUACAUAAAAAAGUGUCCUCUAGCCGUGAGCUUAGAGCUGAUGCUUUAGUUGGAGAGAACUCGCAAGUUCAAGAAAAAAGCAAGCUUCCUUCUAAUAAAUCUUGGAUGCCCGAUCUUGAUAGCAGUAUCUCUUUGAGUUUGACAAGUGAUUAUCCCAUUAAACGUUUGAAAACGGAUUCAGAUUUGUAUAUUGAUCCCUACGAUUUUAAUGGAAGAGAUAUGAAUAAUUCAACUAUGACAAAGGUUUCAUGUUCCUACAGCCGGUGCAACAAAGUAAGGCAUGACGCCAGAUGUGAUGGUUACCAUUGCCGAUUCGUUUUAUCUUGGGAAGUUCCACGUGAUAAAAGAGGUUUCAUGCAAGAACGGUGGAUGGUCUACAUGGAGUCUUGUGUUGAUGCAUCACCACUAGUUGUAUUUAAAGAAAGAAGUGCUUAUUUGUUUGUCGGAGCUCACUCCCACAAAUUCUUGUGCAUUGACGCAACAAGGUAAUGCUGAAUGUUUGUCUAAGAUAGAUUGUGAUUUUGAAAAUCAAGAAAACAUAAAAAAAGUGUGUGAAGCACAAAUUUCUUACAUAUGAGUCCUACAUCCACUUGGUUUAGCUGAGGAUGGGAUAUGUUGCCCGAUUGGUGUCCUUACACUAUUAGACGGUUUUGAUCUAGGCUUUGACCCAAAAAAGAACUUCUCUUUGGAUUGGAACGUCUAAAUAUGGACGCAUAGACUAAACUUGAACAAGUCACAUCAGUGCAGGCGCAACGUACGAGUCAUGUGAUUGACCUGACAUUUUAUUGAGAUGAACUUCGAGCUGCUGAACCGCACCGAAACCAUGCUUUACCCCUAGAUGUCCAGUCAAUUGCUGUGCCUCAACGCAUUUCGGGGAGAACCAACUCGAAAGAUGCCUAAAGCUUUUAGCUUUGAUCAUUCGACGCCGAGUGAAACGGUUCCUUGCUAAAUAAAACCAAAGUUCCACUUGGGAUGCAUUGUGAAAAGCUCUCUGCUAUUUCCUAAGUUGCUCGGACACGGCACUUUCAGUGCCGUACCCGUGUCGACACGACACUGACACGGGUAAGGGUAUGGGAUCUACGUCGGAUCCGGUCAAAAUAGAUCGGGUGCGUUGACCAAAAAUUUGGAAAAAUUGAUUUUCCUAAGUAAAGAUUUGAAGAGAUAGGAAACGAAAUACCUUCAAUUUUGCUGCUAUUUAGUAAUUUAUACUAGUUCUUUUGUCUCCUUUGAAGCUUUUUGUCUUCAAUCUUUGAGUUUUAUUGAGGAAGAUGAUGAAGAACAGGGAGAGAAGAAUGACUUCCAUGUGCAUUUUGCAUGUACAUUGGCAUCAUGAGAGUUGGGACAGCUGUCCUCAAUUAUUUAAAGCUGAAAGUAACAUAUUCCUAACUUAUUAACAGCUGCUAUACAGCUGUCUAUCUUUAAUAAAGUAGACAGUGACUAAAGACGCAUUUUACGCGUUUUGGCUACGUGGCUACUCUAGUUUUCACUCCUUUUCUUCGUAGUGGGAAUCUUUACUAUUCUCUUUUGACAGAGAGUAGUGGGAAGUCUAAAUCAACUGUUUUGUUGAUAGUGGCUUCUAAACAGUAUUCACUAUUCACAGAGGUGGUCCUCUCUGUUCUUGAUCUUCAUCUACGAUUGCUUUUGCUUCAUUCUCUGCUAUGGCUUUGUUAUUCCAUGAGUAGAUUCAAUAAAAUCAUAAUUUAGAGAUAUUUUUAUUUUUAUUUUUAAAUUAUUUUUAGCCGGAUCCCCGCACCCCUGUCAGUUUUAGGAUCCGUAUCCCCGAAUCUUAAAAUUUCUAUCUCAAAGGAUCCGACCUCUAGAUCCGCCCCCGUGUCGGACACCCGUUCCCGUUUCAGAGCAACUUAGGCUAUUUCAAUCAUAUUUCUGCAAUAGUUUGGGGAGAGGUGAUUAGGCAUGACAUGGCUAGAGUGCGGGUUUCCGAGGACAUGGCCCUUUAUAGGAAAGCCUGGAGGUCUAGUAUCAGGGUUGUAGAAUAGGGUCUCCUAGAGGAUUUCGUACUCCUUACCCGGGGUUGGGUGAGGCUUGGCAGGGCUAUCCAUAGAUAAUUUGUGUAUUGGAUUGUGUCUNNNNNNNNNNNNNNNNNNNNNNNNNNNNNNNNNNNNNNNNNNNNNNNNNNNNNNNNNNNNNNNNNNNNNNNNNNNNNNNNNNNNNNNNNNNNNNNNNNNNNNNNNNNNNNNNNNNNNNNNNNNNNNNNNNNNNNNNNNNNNNNNNNNNNNNNNNNNNNNNNNNNNNNNNNNNNNNNNNNNNNNNNNNNNNNNNNNNNNNNNNNNNNNNNNNNNNNNNNNNNNNNNNNNNNNNNNNNNNNNNNNNNNNNNNNNNNNNGAUUGGAAACAACCUCUCUGCCCUUUCGGGUAGGGGUAAGGCCCGUCUACAUAUUACCCUCCCCAGACCCCACUUUGUGGGACUAUACUGGGUAGUUCUGUUGUUAAGGUUACAUUUCUGAUGUGGGACACUUCUACGAACUUUUUUAACUACAUAAGUUUAAGUUACGUCGUAGCUAAUCUAACAAGAUAGUACCUUGACGAUUUUCCAUUCCUUCCUGCCGAGCCGCCUCUCUUCUCCAUUUGGUGCUUCCCCCUUCCCUUUAUAUAACAUGCCCAGGCGCCCUUCUUUCCAAUCACCAAGCAAAAAUAAAUACCAAUCAAAGCCGGAGUGGUGACUAUGCACCCAUAGCUUAUCUAACACUCUCAUUCAAGUUAGUGCAUGCAAAUCGUAUGUAAUGAGCUUGUUGUAUUUUCCUUUCGUGCCAAUAUUUGUGACCCUCCUUUUUUGCAAUGUCCCAAAGUAUUUGACACUAUUUUGUAGUUUUGCAUGUUUUAAAGCGUAAGAAUUCAAAUUCAAUUGCUUAAAUUUCUGCAAAUUCAAUUACUCAAAUUUCUGCAUAAUGUGAUGUGUCUGGCGUUGAUGCCAUAUAAAAGAAAUGGACCUUUGAACCUAACUCUACUAAAAAAUCUAGUGAUGAGCUGAGAAUUACCCAAAUACCAUAUAAGGAAGACAAGAAUGCUAGCCUUAACCAAUGUGGGACGCUAACAAAUCUAUAUAAGUUACCAAGUCACAAAAUUUAUGGUUCGAUGUUCAGCUUCUCCACUAAAUCUUACUGUCACAUUUUAGUUCUACUUACUGUAAAGAUACCAAUUUAUGUCAAACAAGAAAGUUGUAUUGGUUGGUAGGCUUUCUGUUAGAAGGAGAUCGUGCCUAAUCUAUAUCUAUAUGCUUAACAUGCCUAGGUUGACUUCCGAUUUACCGAAACAUGAAAUAAAGAUGGUCUGAGUAUGAGAAACCUGAAGGCAAUGCUAGAGCACUUAAAGACUUGUUCUGGUGAUCGGAGAAGCUUGGAUAUCACUUGUGGUAGGAUUCAAGUGUAGGUCGUGCUUUAGGAUGUUUAAAAUUGUAAAAAAUUGAUCAGGAAGUGAGGAUACCGAGAUUUCCUGGUGGCACCCAAACCUUAAGGUCCUUGGUUAGUUUUAUUGUGGUCACAUUAGUCCACAAGUGCAAUGGAUUGUCUUAGCAGAAAGAAUUGAUUCCGAUAGAUCCAAGAGAUUAACCAUCUCUUCUUCAGUUGGCAAAUAGGUGCUACAUGUGUCAGCUCAACUCAGAGUCGGUUAACACUUAACCAUCUGUUACUACACUGUACAGCAGUUGCAGAUCUUUGGACUUGUUCCUUGCAAUAGUUGGAAUCAGUUGGACAGUCCCACAGAACAUUAGGGAUGCAGCAGUUAGCUGGAGCUCGAGCCUCUGGGAAGUUGAUAGAUCCAUCAAGAAGAUCUGGCAAAUGAUCCCAGCAUGUAUUUUCUGGUGUAUCUGGACAUAGAGGAAUCGUAGAUGUUUCGAGUUUUGAUGGCGUUUCAACUUCCAACUGUAACCUGAAGUCCUAAGUUGCUCUAACACGGGUACGGGUGUCCGACACGGGUGCGGAUCUAGAGAUCGGAUCCUUUUGAGAUAGAAAUUUUAAGAUUCGGGGAUACGGAUCCUAGAACAGACACGGGUGCGGGGAUCCGGCUAAAAAUAAUCUAAAAAUAAAAAUAAAAUAUCUCUAAAUUAUGAUUUUAUUGAAUCUACUCAUGGAAUAACAAAGCCAUAGCAGAGAAUGAAGCAAAAGCAAUCGUAGAU
rnacentral:lncRNA from 1 species